ACUCCCUGGAGAGGCCAUAGAGCUUCCACAACUGGUUCAGCCCCUACCGCUUUUUCGAAAAGAACAAGCAGAUGGAGAAUCUGGCAGAGCAGAUUGCCACAUUGUGUAAAACCCUGGAGGAGUAUCCAGCCAUCCGCUACAGGAAGUGAGUGUGCCCAGGGGAAGGGGUACCCAGCUAUCCCCUAUAGGAAGUGAGUGUGCCAUGGAGAAGUACCCAGCCAUCCUCUACAGGAAGGACCAUGAAGAUAACUUCCACUUGGCGCACGCUGUGCUGGCCAAACUCAAGGUGUUCAAGGCAUACGAGCCCAGCAUGGGAGAGGUGUGGACAAGGAGAACCUCACCAAGCUGAUCCAGCAUGCCAACAUCCAGCAGCAGAGAGACAUCAUCCACAACAUGCUGUUCCUGGGCAUCUCUCUCACGCCUGGGGUAAGGGACUGGGGCCAGGGGCCAGCAGCUGUACUCAUGC